CAGCUGGGUUUUAAAAAGCUCCAGAGGAUUCUGACAGCGGCUCCUGUGUGGAUGGCUCCACUGUGGGGCUGACAUCUGGUUACCGGACCUUGACCUUUCUAGUGAUCUGCUGCCAGAACUCCUUUCUGAAGACCAAAUCCUUCCAGGACCCCUAGCGGUGACUGCUGGUGCCUCCGCUGGGCUGUGGGUCCGGGCAGGCUUUCCCUGGGGACUAAACAGAAUGUGAGCCACAGAUGGAAUUUCACAUUUUCCAGUUUUGUACUAACAAGUAACAGGAAACAGCCAAGCUCCCCAGACAUGGGCACCUUCAGAUCGCGGGCAAGGCAAGAAGAGCACGGCUGAGAGGGACCUCGUGGUUCAUGUAACUGGAUCCUUCCAUGCACGGAUGAGACAGCACGGGACCUGCUCAGGGCCACGCAGCCAUGGCCUGAAAACCUGUUCCCUUAGCUAGACACACUCUGUCUGGGUCUCAUGUCCCCUGGCUGGCUGGAGGGGAAGCUCAUGGGACGCAGGCUCACCCCAGGGCACCAGGGAAACUGGUUUUCGUGCCCGGGAAGGAUCCCACUAGCUGCCGAGGAGGCUGCUCUCAGCUGCUCGGCUGGGUGGGGCCGGCUGCUGUGUGCUGGGCCCCCCCGCCGUAUGUUCUGCGGGAAGCCGAACCCUGUGGGAACUCGGGCCCUUCUUCCAGAGGGCAGGCUGCAUGGUGUGCUCAGCUGCUGAGCUGCUGCUGGCCUGGAGUCGGAGAUGGGGUGGCCUCCUCUCUGGCUUGCCUUACCCAGAGAGCAGAAGGGAGCUCUCUCCCAGUUUAAAGCAUAUUUCUGUGUUGGUUCCAAAAAGUCUAGACUAGUUACUCCUGGGGGCUUCGGAGUUAUUUCAAGGUGUCUACAAAACUCCAUUUCCACUGCGUGUUUUCUCAUAAAGCAUCUCAUAACUCAUGUCUUACACAUAUAUGUACUAUGUUUUCCAAAUGCAUGGCACUACUGUGGCUGUUAAAAUACCGACCCAUAAAAUAAUGCUUCUGAUACUACUAAUAAAUAACGAUAAAUUCCAGUGGUUCUCUCUGGGAGGUGGCACUUCAUGUCUGUAAUGUCUAAUUCUGUUAGUACCUUCGUAUGGUACUCAUAUGGUACAUCGCUAAUCAAACUAGAAGAAAAGUUAAUAAUAAAAGAUCAUUG